rnacentral:rRNA from 1 species
AUUGAACGCUGGCGGCAGGCCUAACACAUGCAAGUCGAACGAGUGGCGGACGGGUGAGUAAUGCCUGGGAAACUGCCUGAUGGAGGGGGAUAACUAACGGAAACGGUAGCUACUACCGCCUACAUACGGAUGUGCACAGAUGGGAUUCGCUAGUAGGUGGGGUAAAGGCCCACAUAGGCGACGCUCCCUAGCUGGUCUGAGAGGAUGACCAGCCACACUGGAACUGAGACACGGGCCAGACUCCUACGGGAGGCAGCAGUGGGGAAUAUUGCACAAUGGGCGCAAGCCUGGUGCAGCCAUGCCGCGUGUAUGAAGAAGGGCUUCGGGUUGUAAAGCACUUUCAGCUGGGAGGCGUUACCAUCAGAAUAAGCACCGGCUAACUCCGUGUCAGCAGCCGCGGUAAUUC